GCCUCGGUAGCUCAGUUGGUAGAGCGUUGGCACCGUAAGCCGAAGGUCCGAGGUUCGAUUCUUGGUCGAGGCU
rnacentral:tRNA from 1 species